GUAUAGAAGACAAAAAUCAGCACUCUCUCUCUCUCUCUCUCUCUCUCUCUCUAUAUAUAUAUAUAUAUAGAGAGAGAGAGAGAGAGAGAGAGAGAGGGAGAGGAAAGCCUUG
rnacentral:miRNA from 1 species